GCUGCAAUGUUUGGUUCUUGUUUUAGUGGAAAUUGGAGCUUUUACCUACAGUUUGCGGAAAUCUGUGUUUUGAAUACUUUGAAUGAGGCAGAGGUUAAAUGCUCUAUAAAUAAAGAGAGACAACAAGGAUUAGUGAGUUUAUGUCUUUGUUUGUACUGUUUUUAUACAAGGACAACAAUGAACGACAUAUGUACUUUUCAUCCUAUUUGUUUCUAGCAUGUAAAUGUAAGUAUUUCUUCAUGCACGUGAGAAACAAAAUAUUAGUUCUUACAUGUUUGAGGAUAUGUAUAACCAUAAUAUGUAAUGCAAUUGUGGUGAGGUAGAACGAGGAGGAGAGGUGUGUGAUGCUAGACAUAUUAGCAAAAAAUUUAGUUCCGUUGAUUACAUUCAUGAGUGUUCUUCCGUUGCAACAUACGGGCCUUGUUCACUUCCGUUACAAUAUGUUGAUCAAGGAUGAAGAGGUGGAUAAGUUUGUGGCUUUAGUUACUGAAUGUCCAGAUCUGGCUUGCUUCUCAACUAGGGCCUACAUUUAGAGAAGACAUAUUCAUAUGUACGUGAUUUAUAAGGUCCUUUUUCUAUACAUGUUUGCAAAGUUUGUCGGUAUAUUAUGCAGAGACAACUUGCCAUGGUUCUGUGUAGAUGUGUUCUUUAUUUCUCAAUUUCUUUUGCUUUAAAACGAUGUUGAUUGGCUGAAAGAAUGGUUCUGCAUGGUUUGCACUCACACCUACUUGAAUUUAGAGUUUCAUUAGCAAAUCCAUUUAGAACAGUGUUAACAUUUUACAUUUUUCUACAGAAAGUUGUACACUGCAGGGGUCUAUACCCACAAACCAAGGAAGGCAACUCAGAAGUUUCUCCCUGCCAAUAAUCAAGAUUCACAAGGAUAGGAGGGCAGAGAUAUCAUGCUGCCAUGGAACUGGUCCAUUUGUCAUUGCCUUUGCUGCUUUCAUGUUCCCUGAUAUUCAGUAGCCAUAUACUUUUAGGACUUCGGAUGUGAUUUCACAUGCGUCGCUGAUCAUAGUUGAUGCUUUUGUCGGUUCAGGGUGAGCUAUUUUGUGUACAGUUGCUAUUGGCCGUGGAAAGACUGGCUAUGCAUGGCUCUGUUUUAUUGAGCUUAGAUGAAAAUUUGAUGGACCACCUAAAUUCAUACGAAACAAACAAAGGCUAAGUAGAGCACCAAAUUAGAGACACGAUGGAUGUCCAUCCUGAUCACUAUUAG
rnacentral:lncRNA from 1 species